GUGCUCACUUUGGCAGCACAUAUACUAAAAUUGCAAUGCUACAGAGAAGAUUAGCAUGGCCCCUGCACAAAUUCGUGAUAACAUUCCAUAUUUUU
ensembl:snRNA U6 U6 spliceosomal RNA